rnacentral:lncRNA from 1 species
UGUUUUCUUUUUACUUGAAAACAGACAUUUUUACAAAUAAAUAUUAAUGAUUUUACUAAAACUGUUGUAAAACAGAAAUCUAAUGGCACUCCUUUAUGAUAAUAUGCUGAAGUGGAAGUUGAUAAUAAAGUUACCACGCAACAAACAACUUUUCUGCUAAGUGUCGCUGUUUAUUGACAGAGUUGCUAUUAUAUGAAUUUUUUGAUCAUUCUUAUAUAAUAUACUUGUGCAUGUGUAUGCAAAUAUAAAUUAUUCUAUAUGUAAGCUCUAACCUCCAGUUUAAUAUUAAAAAAAUCAUUAUAAAAUUAAAACCUAUGUAUAAGACAAUACUCAAACAAUAAAUUUAUAAGAGAAGUAACUACAAUUUUAGCAAAGGGAUGAUUAUGCGUUUAUGGCGAAACAUGAUGGAUAAGCGGGACAAACGAACACAGAAAAGGAAGGACAAAGAUGACAGGAGAAUAUAUACACUGGAGAUUAACCCAUUAAUGUUGAAAUUUAAGAGGAAAAUUGAGAAGAUCACUAACCGGAAGAUUGUUUUCACUAGGAGAAACACAUUAUUUAACACCAUAAGGAAUGAUAAAGAUAGACACGACCGUAACAGUUUGCCAGAGUAUACAAGAUACCAGUGGUAGAUAACAAUUUGCAUGAGGACAUUAAAUAUAUCAGCUACACACCGAGGUCUUUAGGUACGAGAAUAAAAGAACAUAGGAGGGACAUAGCCAACUUGGCACCUAAAACGGCCCUGGC